rnacentral:misc_RNA from 1 species
CAAAUAUCUUAUUUCAAAUUUUGAUACCCAUACAUAUUUGUUUCAAAGCGCCUGAACCAAUACUGUAAACAUUUUCAGAUUUCUAAUGCUGAAACAUUCUUUUAACAAAGAUCACAUCAAGCAUACCGGCUUCUAUAUACCUAUGAUAGGGAACCGAUCCUUGGGCACAGGUACAAGUGAUGAGAACCUGGAAAUGGGCACAGGUACAAGUGAUGAGAACCUGGAAAUUAAGAGGUACACAAGAAUACCCAAGAACAGAAAUAAACUACCCUAAAGAUCUAGACUGGGAUCAUGAUCUUUUUUUCUCUAAUUUCUUCUUAGCAUCGCUCCAAGCCCAUUUGCACGGGAUAGCAACAGCCUGCCAUCCCUCUGGAGGCUAAAAUAGGAGUAAUUUAUUGCCUUACAGGAAUAUACUAGGCUUUCUGAGUCCUCCCAAGCUUGUUAAGCAUGAAUGUUAAAAUAAAUAGUAUAGGAUUCAUCUCUGAAACUCAGUAAUGGUGCAAGAAGAAAAUUCCUUUUUUCUCCCUUUGCUACAAAGCUGAUAGGAUGAUACUCGCUUAAUCCUUUGUUCAUUACAAAGCUGGCUCCCUGAUGAAUGUCUGAGGAUUCUGAAUUGCAGCUGAGCUUUAAG